rnacentral:rRNA from 1 species
AAGACCUUGCGCUUUUGGAGCGGCCGAUGUCUGAUUAGCUAGUUGGUGGGGUAAAGGCCUACCAAAGCUUCGAUCAGUAGCUGGUCUGAGAGGACGACCAGCCACACUGGGACUGAGACACGGCCCAGACUCCUACGGGAGGCAGCAGUGGGGAAUUUUGGACAAUGGGCGCAAGCCUGAUCCAGCCAUGCCGCGUGAGUGAAGAAGGCCUUCGGGUUGUAAAGCUCUUUCAGCCGGGAAGAAAAGACCGCGACUAAUAAUCGCGGUUCAUGACGGUACCGGAAGAAGAAGCACCGGCUAACUACGUGCCAGCAGCCGCGGUAAUACGUAGGGUGCGAGCGUUAAUCGGAAUUACUGGGCGUAAAGGGUGCGCAGGCGGUCUUGUAAGUCAGAUGUGAAAUCCCCGGGCUUAACCUGGGAACU